GUCAGAGCUGAUGAGGUUACAGGAACAUUCACACCAAGUACUUUUGAGGUAUGAAAGACACUGUAACAGUCCUCAGAGCCUCUACGGUCGAGAUCCUCCAAACCACCGCUCACUCCAGAGCGAGUUGCAGGAUAAGCAGCAGCAGCAUCAUAGAGCUCUGGAUGACAUAAGUCUCCCAUCCCUCCAUGCACACACUGAUGAUAUUCAGAGCAUCAUCCAUAGGAUCAAG